rnacentral:lncRNA from 1 species
AGAAAAGGAUGUACGGAGAGAUUUUGAGUUUUCCUGUAAUUUUAAAUAUUUUUACCUCUAGUUUUAUGCACUGAUGCCUACAGAGAGACAAUCUAUGUAAAUAUAUCAAAAUGCCUGAAUAGGAAGGGGUUUUUUUCACCAUUAGGCUAAGUAAAUCAAGAUGAACGCAUAGUCUUCUGCCAUAACACUGGAGCCAACGCAGUGCGUCAUUUGCUAAGAAGCUUGAAAAGGAAAGGGUACAGGAAUCACUAAGGAUGUCUAGCGUUGAAAAUGGCUAGUGACUGCAUGUAAUACCCAUUUUUAUCCUGCAAAGGGUUGCCAUCCUUUUCAGAGCAAAUCAACAGAAUUGAAACAGGCAGAGGGGGAGUUACUCACUAGCUUUCUCCUGACAAGGUACGUGAUGUAG